CUUAUAGCUCAGUGGCAGAGCAUCUGCUUUGCAUGCAGAAGGUCCCACCUCAUUCUCUGGCAGGUAGG